GACGAACGCUGGCGGCGUGCUUAAUACAUGCAAGUCAACUGAGCUUAAGGUAGCAAUAUCUUAAGUGCGGUGGCGCACGGGUGAGUAACACGUAGGUAAUCUGCCUUUAGGUCUGACAUAAUCCCGCGAAAGCGGGACUAAAAUCAGAUGAUGCAGCGGCUCGACAUCGAGACAGUUGUUAAACCUUCGGGGCCGUAAAGAUGAGCCUGCGUCUGAUUAGGUAGUUGGCGGAGUAAAAGACCCACCAAGCCUGCGAUCAGUAGCUGGUCUGAGAGGAUGAUCAGCCACACUGGAACUGAGACACGGUCCAGACUCCUACGGGAGGCAGCAGUAAGGAAUAUUGCUCAAUGGCCGAAAGGCUGAAGCAGCAACGCCGCGUGAAGGAAGAAGGUCUUACGGAUUGUAAACUUCUUUAGCAGGGGAAUAAAAGACGAUACGAGUUAUCGUGUUGAAAGUACUUUGUCGAAAAGGAUCGGCUAACUCCGUCG
rnacentral:rRNA from 1 species